CCUCAUGGAGAAGAUCAAGGACAAGCUCCCUGGUGGCCACGGUGACCAGCAGACCACAGCUGGCACCUAUGGGCAGCAGGGACACACCGGCACCGCGGCGCAUGGCACCCCGGCCGGCGGCGGCACCUAUGACCAGGAGGGACACACCGGGAUGUCUGGCAUGGGGGCGCACGACACCCACGCCACGGGCGGCGCCUAUGGGCAGCAUGCACACACCGGAGGGACCGGCACGGGGACGCACGGAACCGGCGAGAAGAAGGGCGUCAUGGAGAACAUCAAGGACAAGCUUCCUGGUGGCCACGGUGACCAUCAGAAGACGAGUGACACGUACGGGCACCAGGAAGACACCGAAAUGACUGGCAUGGGGAGGCAUAGCACCCCUGCCACCGGCGGUUCCUAUGGGCAGCAUGUACACAC
rnacentral:lncRNA from 1 species